GCAAAAGAAUUAUUUUAAAUUGCAUGAAUACUGUGUUUCCAACAACAUUGUUUUAGAUAUAACAACAGUCGGCAAUGCAAAUUUCUAUGUUGUGCUUAUUAUAUUUUCUAGUUACUUCAGAGAGUGACAGGAAGGUACUGAUUGCUUGAUAGCUGUCCUGGUUAAGUUUUUGUGAGUAAACAUUUUGGCUAGAAGAUGCAUGUGAGUGAUGAGGUGUUAUAUGAACUGUUGCAAAAGAGUGAAUGUAGUGAUAUUUCUGAGAGCAAAUGUAGUAGUGACAGUGAAAUAAAUGUGAAAAUUUUGUCAUGGGGUGAACAGAGAGUCAGUUCUGAUGAAGAAGAAAAUGUCAGUGACAACAAUAGCAUGCAGCAUAGCAUAUGUGCAGACAGGUGCUGAGCAACUACAUUUUCUAUUUACUGGCAAGCCUAACAUAAAUGUUGACUUAGAAGACCCCAGUGAGCCCCUGGAAUAAUCUGAGUUCUUUGUACACCAGAUAUUGUGGAAGUAAUAGCCAGAGAAACAAAUCGGUAUGCCUAACAAUUUUUAGAAAACAUGCCUAAUCUAAAACUAGGAUCUAGGAUCCAUCACCAGAAGGAGAUGACCAGAAAUGAAAUAAUGAAGUUGCUGACAUUCUUUUGUUAUAAGGACUUCACCAGAAACCAGAUAACAAGAGCUAUUUCUCCUGGAGGAAAAUUCUAGAAACAUCUACAUUUUUUAUAAGAGGUUUCACCUUCCACUCAAGUUUCUUAAUUCUGAUGGCAAGAAAAGUUAUGAUGAGGCCACUUGCAGUUCCAAAAGACCGCAUAAACUCAAACCCACACUGGAUCAUGUAAUGCAAAAUUUAGUUUGUCACUUAAUGAAGCUUCCAGUAUCAAGACUAUACAGUGUCAGUGACAGGACAAUUAACGAAUGUGGAACAGCUGGUGGAAUGGGAAUUGGCAGUGGAAACUGAAGUACUAUGAGAAAACCAACUCCACUGUCACUUUGUCCACCACAAAUCCCACAUGACCUAACAUGGAACUGAACCUUGGCCACUACAAUGGGAAGCUGGUCCUAGCACUUACGAGACAAGGAAAUCCACGAGUUUGUUGGGUGUAUUGGAAUCAGGGCGCAGAGGG